AACAUUUUGAACAAUCUGGAGCAAGUGAUGGAUGACUGACACUGUUCCAACACGUGAGGGAGUCAGUGAUAUUCAGUGAUUGUGAGAUUCAUGUGUCAAGCUUCACUGUGAAACUCCAUCGACACCAUGUUCCAUGACAGCAAGAGUGACUGUCAACAGACAGCAACUGAUUAAGUGGCAACAGUCUUAUCAUGUCAGUGUAAGGCAAGCGUCUCUGUAUUUGGAAACAACUAGAGCAACAGUGUGACCAAAAGCAGAGAGGGAGAAGUUCUGCAAGAGACCAUGGACACAGACAGC